UAAGUAUGUCACCCAGACUCAGUGCUCGUAUCUUCCUUCUUUUCGACAGAAAUUUGCCCCAAAACGCCUCCGGCGGAAGAAAUUUUUGAUGAUUAAGUCCAAAAAUCUGUGAAAACGCUUCAGAUUUUGAGGGGUCUUUCUGAGAAUCGCAGAAGACAUUUUGGGGCGUUUCUGUCACUUGUCCGGGCCCAAGGCAAGGGUGACUGAGGUUCCCCAGGAUAAUCUACGGCCGUGUCCUGCUGGUACCAUGGGGGCACAGCACGAUAGGUCAGCCUUCUACCAGGGGAGUCAUGCCGUGGGUGAGUAUGAUGAGCAUGGGUGAGGGCGCUGGGGUUUGGCGUGGGGAUGGGCCACGAUUCGCCAUGGAGCCAUGUAACCGGAGCUUUUUUCACCAACGUAGUGUUAACGUGGCAACAGCAACCUCACCCCGCACUCUGUGACAAUGGCACAUCCGUCCCGUGCGGCGGAAUAUUUUGCUGUGCCGGAGCCGGAACGUGGGCUAGGGGCAACAGCAACCUCACCCGCACGCUGUAACAAUGGCGCAUGCCGUGCGGCGGACUAUUUUGCUGUACUGGAGCCGAAACGUAGGCUGGGGGCAACAGCAACCUCA
rnacentral:lncRNA from 1 species